rnacentral:rRNA from 1 species
AGUGAACGCUGGCGGUAGGCCUAACACAUGCAAGUCGAACGGCAGCACAGUAAGAGCUUGCUCUUACGGGUGGCGAGUGGCGGACGGGUGAGGAAUACAUCGGAAUCUACUUUUUCGUGGGGGAUAACAUAGGGAAACUUACGCUAAUACCGCAUACGACCUACGGGUGAAAGCAGGGGAUCUUCGGACCUUGCGCGAUUGAAUGAGCCGAUGUCGGAUUAGCUAGUUGGCGGGGUAAAGGCCCACCAAGGCGACGAUCCGUAGCUGGUCUGAGAGGAUGAUCAGCCACACUGGAACUGAGACACGGUCCAGACUCCUACGGGAGGCAGCAGUGGGGAAUAUGGGACAAGGGGCGCAAGCCUGAUCCAGCCAUACCGCGUGGGUGAAGAAGGCCGUCGGGUUGGAAAGCCCUUUUGUUGGGAAAGAAAAGCAGCAGGUUAAUACCCCGCUGUUCUGACGGUACCCAAAGAAUAAGCACCGGCUAACUUCG